UACCAGCACCCCGAGUGGUCGGGGCGUUUAUUGGGCCUAAAGCAUCCGUAGCCGGUUCUACAAGUCUUCCGUUAAAUCCACCUGCUCAACAGAUGGGCUGCGGAAGAUACUAUGGAGCUAGGAGGCGGGAGAGGCAAGCGGUACUCGAUGGGUAGGGGUAAAAUCCGUUGAUCCAUUGAAGACCACCAGUGGCGAAGGCGGCUUGCCAGAACGCGCUCGACGGUGAGGGAUGAAAGCUGGGGGAGCAAACAGG
rnacentral:rRNA from 1 species